rnacentral:rRNA from 1 species
UACGUAGGGAGCAAGCGUUGUCCGGAAUCAUUGGGCGUAAAGCGCGCGUAGGCGGCCUCAUAAGUCCGUUGUGAAAGUCAAAGGCUACAACCUUUGAAAGCCGAUGGAUACUGUGAGGCUAGAGUCCGGAAGAGGCGAGUGGAAUUCCUGGUGUAGCGGUGGAAUGCGCAGAUAUCAGGAGGAACACCAAUAGCGAAGGCAGCUCGCUGGGACGGUACUGACGCUAAGGCGCGAAAGCAUGGGGAGCGAACAGG